rnacentral:rRNA from 1 species
CGCCUUGCCAGCCCGCUACAGGAAACUUAAAGGAAGUUGACGGGGCCCGCACAAGCGGCGAGCAUGUGGAUUAAUUCGAUGCAACGCGAAGAACCUUACCUGGGUUUGACAUACACCGGAAAACCGUAGAGAUACGGUCCCCCUUGUGGUCGGUGUACAGGUGGUGCAUGGCUGUCGUCAGCUCGUGUCGUGAGAUGUUGGGUUAAGUCCCGCAAUGAGCGCAACCUUGUCUUAUGUUGCCAGCACGUGAUGGUGGGGACUCGUAAGAGACUGCCGGGGUCAACUCGGAGGAAGGUGGGGACGACGUCAAGUCAUCAUGCCCCUUAUGUCCAGGGCUUCACACAUGCUACAAUGGCCAGUACAGAGGGCUGCGAGACCGUGAGGUGGAGCGAAUCCCUUAAAGCUGGUCUCAGUUCGGAUCGGGGUCUGCAACUCGACCCCGUGAAGUCGGAGUCGCUAGUAAUCGCAGAUCAGCAACGCUGCGGUGAAUACGUUCCCGGGCCUU